rnacentral:lncRNA from 1 species
AAGAAAGAUGAAGAGAAUUUUAAGUUCAAUAACAGGUGCUACUCCUAAGAGAAGCUGAUUAUAUUGAAGGGCUUCACAGAUAAGUUGUCUUCAAUAUUGCCUGGAAAUUGAUAAUAUUGAAUCAGAGAACUUGAUCAGAUAAGGUCUAGGUGUAGUCUUAUGUACACACAUUAGUCUUUUUAUUAAUAUGAUUCAACAUGCUUAUUUUACAAUUAAUUUGUGAUGCUACAGACUUGUAAAACACUUUGGAUUUUUUGGAUGCAUUAUGUGCUAGGAGACAGACAAAGAUUGAUUUAUCAUUAUGCACGCAAAAUACAAUUAGAUCCUAUGUUUUAACUUCUGCAUUAUUUGUUCAACUGGUGUUAUAAGCAUUUGGUUUUUAGCCUAUUUUGAUAAAAUAUCUUUAUUCAAAUAAAAUACUACAGGACAGUGCUCAUAAUGCUUUUAUGGAAUAAUUAGAUAGAUGCUUAAUUUAUUUACGAGAAGAUUAAAUUUAUGUUGAAUAUUAUUAAAACAAAUUAUUCUGCCAGGCUGAUAUUCCGCGGAUAUAAUUGAUACAGUAUUUUUUUCACAACAUUAUAAAAAAGCUUUUUUUUUUUAAGUGUUGUGCUUCAUAGUGGUAGCAUAUGUAAGGUUUAAUUUUAAUCCAUGUAGCAUUUAGAAUAGAAACAAAAUUUGCAAUUGCAACAAGAUCUGAUCUUUCCAUUCCUUAUUUAAAAAUAAUAAAAGAAAACAGAGGAGAAACAGGAGCUCUCUUCCAUUCCUCUGUUUUUUUGUUUGAUAAUUUUAAAUUAUUAUAUAUAUAUAUAUAUAAUUAGAUGCUUUUUUCACUCAUUUUUUUCAUCAAAACCAAUUAAUGGUCAAUUAUUUCAUUUGUAUAAAAUCGAAUUACAUUUUAUUAUAGCUUCCAAAUAUCCAAUUUAUUUUUCUUAUUGAAUAACCUUAUUUUAUUAUAGCUUCCUAAGAAAUUAGAGCCAAGAAGAAAUAUAGCAAUACAACUCUGGUUUUUAGAUAUAGUGUUGCAUGGGCCUUGUUGAUACAUAUAGUUUCCCAUUAGAUGGUGCAGUGCAAUCGCAGAAAGUUUUUUGAGUGUUUCUGCUCAAAGGACCUUUUGAUUUUCCUCUGUCGUAUGUAGCUGUGGGGUGAACCAAGUUUCCACUUGUUUGUAAGAAUUGUGUAUCAGUUGGCAUGUGUAAUUGACCACAAGUUCUUGAUUUUGUUGUUUUAUUAAUCAUUUUUGAAACUGGAAAUGGGUACCGAGAUAUUUGUACUUGUAUUACAGGGAGAAGCUGAAUCCCAUGAACCUGCUCCUUCUGUACAUGGCUCCAAUAGCUGUUUUGUUUCUACUCUCUGCACUUUCUCUUGCAAGGGAUGGUGUCAAGAUCAUCUGGUAUAUCUGCUAUUCAACUCAGCGCUCGCCUAUUUUGUUAACCCUGCCAACUUUUUGGUUACAAAAAUAUACAAGUGCUAGCUUUUGACUCUCCAGGUAUUCCUAACCAGCCCUCUUGAUUGUUUCUUCCCUAUAUGUUGUUAUACAGUUGCGAUCAUUUUUUUUUUUUUUUCUGCAUACUUCAGCGUCUAGGCCUUGAAAUCUCAAUGUUCUUCUACAGAAAAUUAUUUUUUUCUUACAGAACGUACAAGCACUGUGGUAAUCCCCUAUGCUGGUUCUGAAUUUUGCUUACUUGUAAAAUAAGGAGGGAGAAUGAGAAUUAAAUUAGUGUCGGGUCCAUUAUUAUUGACUCAUUGCAUUACUGCAGCCAAUGGUUUAGCUAGAAAAUUAAAAUCAGUGGGAGUAAAAUGACCGGCAUAAAAUAUAAAGAAGGAAAAACUUUGGUAGUUCUCCUUAUACUAAAGCUUGAAAUGAUGUCUUAUUUAGUAUUUUAUUUAACUGUUUUUCUAAUCUUAUUAAUUUUUCUCCUUAUACUUCUUAGGAAGCCAAAACUGUAAGAGAAGGUAGUCAAAUUGUAAAGACUGAAGAGUAAUUUAACUUUUUAAGUACUCUUCUAAUUUAAAUACUCUUGGAGAAUUACCAAAAGACUCUUUUAAUUUAACAAAUACUUAUUUGCUUAGCUAUUUAACAAAUAGAAGAGUGAAAAAAUAGGUUAUUUCUCAAAAAACUCUUUAAAUAAAAAUAAGUUUAUAUUAUUUUUAAAUCAAACUUUUUCUUCUACCAAAAUAAUAGUAAUUACAACACUUCUCUCGGUAACCUUAUUUUAUUAUAGCUUUCUAAGGAAAAGACAAUUGCUUUGUGCUCAGCUCAGUUUUUAGAAUUUAGAGCUGAGAAGAAUAGCAAUACAACUCUGCUUUUUAGAUAUAGUGUUGCAUGGACCUUUUUGAUACACAG